rnacentral:lncRNA from 1 species
AAGAAAAUGUAAAUUGAUAAAAUUAAAGAAUGAAGAUUUAAGAAAAAAAAUACAGAACUGUGCUAGACUGCAAUCCAACGAAGAUGCUCUCCACUUCGUAUAGAUUCAAAAGCUGCAACGCAAUGUGCACACGUGUUUUCACCAUUGUUGCGGAUUCAACAUCUAACAAACACGUUUCACCAUUGUUGCGAAGAAUCAAGAUCUGAACGAAAUAAAAUAAAAUAAAUAACUUGCAUCAGCAGCUGUUUUCAUUUCCAUGGCCUGAACCCAGUUUUCUUCAAGGAACGAAGAGGAAAACAAAUUCGAUGAUCCAAAACAUCUGUUUGGACGGAGUAACACGAUUGAUUUAAACGAAACCUGUUGUGCUAAACAGAAUUAAGAGUAUUUAAUCGACCGUGAUUACUCUGUCCAAGCAAAUGGACCGGAUCUGAAACUUCAAGUUCUUCAAUGGCUAUAGAUCGAAAAGGAAGAGGAAAAUAAUGAAGAAAUU